rnacentral:rRNA from 1 species
UACAGAGGUGGCAAGCGUUGUUCGGAAUUACUGGGCGUAAAGGGCGCGUAGGCGGCCUUCUAAGUCAGACGUGAAAUCCCCCGGCUUAACCUGGGAACUGCGUCUGAUACUGGGAGGCUUGAGUAUGGGAGAGGGAUGUAGAAUUCCAGGUGUAGCGGUGAAAUGCGUAGAUAUGCGGAGGAACACCGAUGGCGAAGGCAAUCCCCCUGGGCCUGCACUGACGCUCAUGCACGAAAGCGUGGGGAGCAAACAGG